CGCAUUCCACGAAUGUUCUUGUGGCGCAAACCGCAAAAAAACCCCCCGCUAUUGCACGCCAACGGACUGAGCUCGUUCCCAGGAACAAGGGAACACCGAAUGCCAGGUGGGAUUCCCAUUUUUCAAGCCUCUACGACAAUAUUUUGGCCCGACCUCAUGGCGGGGGAGCCGCGAAGCCACGCGCCCGAGCCGGGUUCCUCGAGAAUUGCCGAUCAUUUUCUCAACGAUGGAAGUCCCCGUAGAGAGGCGCAGCAUAUCCUAGGAAGAAAUGGAUACAAGCAACGGAAGGAAGGAGGUCAGACACAGAAGAUCAGACCGGCGAACCUCCCAACGUCGCGAGAGCACCUUGUCGCCAACGCGGCUCGACAAGCGCAACAAUAACCCAUGGAAAGGCAAGCUAGAGCGCACACGCCAGGCAAGCAGAAUGCCACAUUUGCCAAGAGGGGAUUACAAGAUUGUGAUCAGACCACGUGGAGGACUCAAAAUAUCCCAGCACGGUAUAGUUCACCUCACAGCUGCGGUACAAGAUGCGGCAGGCAUUCCUCGAGACGAAAGGUAGGAGGGCAUUGUCUGCCCCAACAAUUAUCAAAAUAUCCUUAUCGUCAGUACAUCGGAUUAAGAGCGUGCAAACAAAUAUCAGGAAGUAGCACGUAUCAAGAUUCAAGACACUUUUUACGAGACCAAUGCUUACGAGACAGCGCCUGACAUGACGGCCAAAGGAGUCAUCAGAGGACUUCCACUCGACGAGGGACCAAGAGACAUCACAGCAGCGGCGGUUACGAGUAAAAACCCAGCGGUGAUAGCAGCAGAGGCUCUCAGUAAUACCACCACAGUGAUCGUGCUCUUUGAAGAACGCAAAGUGCCCACGUACGUCCGAUACAGGGCAGCGCUACUCCCUUGCUCCCUGUACAGCAAAGAAGUGGAUUUCUGUCACCAAUGCAACAUACUUGGACACAGAGGAGAUGUAUAUCCCAACCCUGACAACAAGAUUUGUGCGGGAUGUGGAACACCAAACCCAGAUAAACAGCACAGGUGCCAACCUAAAUGUCAGUCAUGCAGCGAGGACUAUCCGACCGCAGACAAGACGUGCAAAGCCAAAUUCAAAAAGCCCUUCAUGGUUAAACAGAUACAAAGGCACAGACUGCAACGAGAACGACAAGAAGAACAUGAAGACGCUAUCUCAAGAGAAGACAGGGCAGAGCCUCGCGGAACGCCUGGCCUCCCAAACGCCAGGGAACGACGCUCCGGAUCGAGAACAAGGUCUCUAUCCACCACCAGAUCCUUAUCCCGGUCCGGCUCCAGGACACCGGGGACACGAUCCAGAUCCAGGUCCAGAACUACGCCACCCUCUUCAGCAAACCAGACAAACACGUGGAGGUGUCCUCGAAUGGGGAAAGAACGCAAACCACUCCUCAUGCUUCAGAACAUGCCAGCCGAGUAACUGUCCCAAUGGAUGCACACCUGGAUGUACAUGUUUCCCAACAAAUAAGCUAGGAGGAAACGGAUUAAACGGCGUUUGUCUCAAUGCAAAUUACCCACUACCCGGCGAUCUGGUAGAGACUUAUAAGACGGGACUCAAAUAGUGACAUAGCUCAAAGCAUUAGCGUGCGUCG